rnacentral:rRNA from 1 species
CAGCAGCCGCGGGAAUACGAAGGGUGCAAGCGUUAAUCGGAGUUACUGGGCGUAAAGCGUGCGUAGGCGGUUUGUUAAGUCUGCUGUGAAAUCCCCGGGCUCAACCUGGGAAUGGCAAUGGAUACUGGCGAGCUAGAGUGUGUCAGAGGAUGGUGGAAUUCCCGGUGUAGCGGUGAAAUGCGUAGAGAUCGGGAGGAACAUCAGUGGCGAAGGCGGCCAUCUGGGACAACACUGACGCUGAGGCACGAAAGCGUGGGGAGCAAACAGGAUUAGAUACCCGCGUAGUCCCUGUCUCUUAUAC